rnacentral:rRNA from 1 species
AACCAGACUCCUACGGGAGGCAGCAGUGGGGGAUAUUGCACAAUGGGGGAAACCCUGAUGCAGCGACGCCGCGUGGGCGAAGAAGUAUUUCGGUAUGUAAAGCCCUAUCAGCAGGGAAGAAGAAAUGACGGUACCUGAGUAAGAAGCACCGGCUAAAUACGUGCCAGCAGCCGCGGUAAUACGUAUGGUGCAAGCGUUAUCCGGAUUUACUGGGUGUAAAGGGAGCGCAGGCGGCACGGCAAGCCUGAUGUGAAAGCCCGCGGCCCAACCGCGGGACUGCAUUGGGAACUACCGGGCUGGAGUGCCGGAGAGGUAGGCGGAAUUCCUAGUGUAGCGGUGAAAUGCGUAGAUAUUAGGAGGAACACCAGUGGCGAAGGCGGCUUACUGGACUGUAACUGACGUUGAGGCUCGAAAGCGUGGGGAGCAAGCAGGAUUAGAUACCCCAGUAAC